AUUAGAACAGUUAUUAUUGAUACAAUAGAAUUGGAAAUUUAAAAAAAUUAUUUGCACUACUUUUUUUUUCUUUCUAUUUUUAGGAUGCAAAAUUUGUAGAAGAGCGCCGCAAACAGCUGCAAAAUUACCUAAGGAAUGUAAUGAACAAAGUUAUUCAAGUUGUGCCAGAAUUCACAGCCAAUCCCAAAAAAGAGACUCUAAUUCAGCUGAUGCCCUUCUUUGUUGAUAUUCCACCUUCUGGAGAAGCAGUAAGCAAAAGCAGUUGCUUGAGAGUGACUACACGCUUCCCAAAACUGUCUCGCAGCCAUCAAAGAGAGCCACGAAGUCUGGAACCUCAAAGUGGUGAUCUUUGACCCUUCUUCUAAUUCUGAAUGCUGGUACUAUGUACUUUAAGUUGCUCUGUGAUUCCUUCCUAGCUUGUAUUUAUAAUUUAAGCUCCUGAAGAGACUACAGCUGCAUCAACUUAAAUCCUGAAAAAGACAUUCAUUACUAAGGGUCAUAUCUUGACGAAGUUCUUUAGAAGUCAGUAAUCACUUUCUCAGAAAGAAUGAGGGCUCCUCACUAGGGCUCACCACACUUGUAAGCAUUUCCUUUGUUUUGUGAAGCUUCAGUGCACAUAUUCUCCUUUGUUCUGUUCAAGCAAAUUCCUUGUUUGUGUUGUUGUCUUCCUUUGCACAUGUUCAUUUUUCUGGUUCAGACGUGAGUAUUAUGUCAUGACAAUUUUCCUUGAAAGAACAGCUAUAUUUAUCACUACUUAAGUCAGUAAAACAUGCCUAAAAUGACCUCACUAAUUUAUAACCUUUUGUAAAUAGGAAGACUGGGAAGACUGUUUUGUGGUGAUUUUUUUUUUGUAAAUUAUUAUUGGGUUUUUUAAAAACUUGACAAAGUAGAUGACAAGGGAAAAAUGGUAGACGUGGAAAAACAGCUUUUCUAUGUUUCUAGUUUAGUAUUUUCAAUAGAUUUCAUUUGUGGCAAGUAAUUCUUUAAAAUCAGAGAAUUUUUUUAGUGAAAUUUCAGUCUUGAUUUAAGGCUGAAUGCAAUAUUUUUAAUUCCUGCAAACCACCACAAAAUCAGCAUGGUACAAAAUAGUGUUUUCAAGUCUUGGGUUAUACCUUGUUAUUAGCUUGUCACUGUUGCUACAGAGCAGUCUCUCAUCAUUAACUGUGAGUUUGGAAUUAAUACUCUUUAUUUGUAGAACACUUCACAUAGUGGUAAUUAAGAAUUACCUGUAAUGAAAGAGCCUGUUACCAAUCAUCUGUCACUGAACAGUAUUCUGCUAUGGUAAUACUGUAAGAGUAACUUAAAAAAA